rnacentral:rRNA from 1 species
GACGAACGCUGGCGGCGUGCUUAACACAUGCAAGUCGAACGGAAAGGCCCUGCUUUUGUGGGGUGCUCGAGUGGCGAACGGGUGAGUAACACGUGAGUAACCUGCCCUUGACUUUGGGAUAACUUCAGGAAACUGGGGCUAAUACCGGAUAGGAGCUCCUGCUGCAUGGUGGGGGUUGGAAAGUUUCGGCGGUUGGGGAUGGACUCGCGGCUUAUCAGCUUGUUGGUGGGGUAGUGGCUUACCAAGGCUUUGACGGGUAGCCGGCCUGAGAGGGUGACCGGCCACAUUGGGACUGAGAUACGGCCCAGACCCCUACGGGGGGCAGGAGGGGGGAAUAUUGCACAAUGGGCGGGGGCCUGAUGCAGCAACGCCGGGGGGGGGAUGACGGCCUUGGGGUUGUAAACCGCUUUCGCCUGUGACGAAGCGUGGGUGACGGUAAUGGGGAAAGAAGCACCGGCAAACUACGG